GCGUAUCUGUUGAUAGGAUCUAGGCUAUUAAUGACUAGGGAAGUCUUUAGCUAAGAUCUAAGUUAGCCCUCGCCUUUAGGCGAUAUUAUAAAUAAAGGGCGAAAAUUAAGAGGUUCGGCCAGGAAGUGGACCGAGCGACGUGAGGCCUCGACCGCGGCCUAGGCGGCUGGGAUCGGGUCUUACAAGUUGGUAUCAGAGCAUGCUUGAUCCUGUUUAGGACAACUCUAUAAGAUUAUGCGUUCCAUACCGAAGUUAUUUCCAAAACUAUGAUGACUAUGAAACCUUAGUUGGGGUGAGCCAAGAAACAGUUGAGGUAAGCUAGGGUAUCAUGCUUGUGAACGUGGGAAUUCUAAGAUGAACCGGCUUAGCCAAGAUACAUUUUCCAAGGGCAAGAAGCUAUAAACAGAAAGGUUGGUCGAUCUAGUUAUUUAGAAGUAAUAGACGGGUUGGAAGGGAUGGAGUCAAUGCAAGACUUGUUUAUGGAUGACCUCAACAAGGGAAGUAACAUGGACCAGAGAGCGGCUUAGGUUGAAAUAAACUGUAACGACCCGGUUCUCUAAAUGUUGGUUUUGUAUCGAUUUUAAUUGAAUCAGACCAUUGGUAAGCCAAAGCAUUAUAUAUAUCAUAUUUUAUUAACCUAGCAAUCAAAAGAAAAAGGAAAGGAAAGUGCAUCGAGAACCGCCUCCAUUAAUCUCCAUCACGUCUUCUUCCUCUUCAUCACGUCUUCAAGUACACACUCCUAUUGUCCUUUCCUUCACGCCAGAGAAAGGAGUUCCUUGCGCCGUCAUCCUAGAUCGAUUCAGGAGACUUUAGCCUUUGAACCAAGGCUCUUUGGAUAGAUCUCGUUUCCAGGAAUCUGUAGCAGCAAACGGAAUCGAGAUCGAAGUUGUACAACAAAAGUUAUUGACUUUGCUUCUUGGCCAAGAAUAAACUUAAGCUGUUGUGGUGCAGAGACAGUUCCGACCAGUCCCAGCGUAAAGGCGAAACGGUCGACCAAAACAGAAGCUUUCAGUAUGGAAAUUUGUCAGUAAGUAUUUCACUCUUUUAUCUAUCAUCUCCCAGAAGCGGAUUGUCAUUCCGAGUUAUUUUCUGAAAGUUGUGUUUGUUCUCGCGAGAGGUAUUGCUGCAGUCUUCGUAUGCGACCAGCCUGCAGGUGAGGCCAUUUUGGUUGAUCAAAUGGUGGCCAAUCGGAGUAAACCCGGUGGCUACGGACAAAGGACAUAUAGGACUACAUUCUUACCGGAGGGAUUGAAAGUUUAACGGUCAGUUCUUGAAUUAUUCGUCUGUUUUCUCGAGGGUUCAGGUCUGCCCAAAUCCUCACAUUCGUCUAUUUUCAGAAAGCUCCGGAGUUGUUAUUUUAGAGCCAGCAAAAUUCAUUCGGUGUGUUCAGGUUUUCUGAAGAACCUGUGGCAAAGGUGAGGGUCUAUUCCCGAACUUCUCAUACACGGCUUAGGACCUUGAAUAAGUAUAAUUUAUUUCUAAUAUGUUUCGUCUGUCUGAAAUCGAGUCUGUCAUUGCUUGUUUAGUUUUUAGGUUCUUUGCUUAAACCGGAAAUAAGAAAUCAGAUGAUUCAACGUUGCUUGUGUGAAUUAAUUUGAUAUAUUCAUGUAUAUAUAUAGUAUAUAUAUUUUGAUGUGUUUGUGCCGGAUACAGAGAGGUCUUUAUCUGUAUGUCGGGUGCCGGGUACAGAGAGGUGUGUAUCUGUAGCCUGGAUUGUAUAGAGGUUACGGUCAGCUAUAGUCGACCUGUUGAUCGUAGCUUGUAGGUCGAUAAAUCGUCUACGGGCGUGUGUGACCGAGCACUUUUUCGGGGUAUUUUUGGCCUGUUCGUGGGCAGGUCGCUAGGACCAUUGUUUGUUUCUUGGGUGCUUUAGGUACCGUAUUUGACAUGUAUUAGGGUAAAUUAUAUUUAUUCAGAGUGCUAUGUCCGGGUCCACGGACUUCAGGAUAGCAUCCCAUACCUCACUGAGUGACUCCCCUGUUACUCACCCCUCUUUCUUUCCCAUUUCAGGUGAGACAGAUGAGUAUAUGAUAUUUGGACGGAUUUGUGCUUCUGGACUUUUUAUUCGGAUUUUUAUUUGGGCUUUGGGGGAGUGUAAUUGGGUAUAUGGGCUUUUAUUAUACGAGAUAUUGUUGGUGGCCCGCUGUUCUCCGGAUUGGAGGUAACAUGUGUCACAAUUUGGUAUCAGAGCGGGGUUCCGUUCCGGCCUCGACCCGGAAUGGCGAUUAGGGGAUUCGGUUUUGUACGUUUUAAAAAAAAGUAUAAAAUAAUUUAUAUAUAUAUAAUAAGAAAAAAAAUUUUUG